GACGAACGCUGGCGGCGUGCUUAACACAUGCAAGUCGAGCGGAGCGGCGAACGGGUGAGUAACGCGUGAGUAACUGCCCCCCUCUCUGGGAUAACAGUUGGAAACGGAUGCUAAUACCGGAUAGUGGGGGAUGACUCGCGUCCUAUCAGCUUGUUGGUGGGGUAGUGGCCUACCAAGGCGACGACGGGUAGCCGGCCUGAGAGGGCGACCGGACACCGUGGGCUGAGCUACGGCCCAAACUCCUACGGGAGGCAGCAGUGUGGAAUAUUGCACCAUGGGGGAAAACCUGAUGCAGCAACGCCGCGUGCUGGAUGACGGCCUUCGGUUUGUAAACCGCUUUCAGCCAUGACGCGGUAGUGGCAGAAGAAGCACCUGCUAACUACGUGCCAGCAGCCGCGGUAAUUC
rnacentral:rRNA from 1 species